AUUGAACGCUAGCGGGAUGCUUUACACAUGCAAGUCGAACGAGCGGCGGACGGGUGAGUAAUGUAUGGGGACUGCCCGAUAGAGGGGGAUAACUACUGGAAACGGUAGCUAAUACCGCAUACUAUCGGAUAACCCAUAUGGGAUUAGCUAGUAGGUGGGGUAAUGGCUCACCUAGGCGACGAUCCCUAGCUGGUCGGAGAGGAUGAUCAGCCACACGGGGACUUGGACACGGCCCAGACUCCUACGGAGGCAGCAGUGGGGAAUAUUGCACAAGGGGCGCAAGCCUGAGGCAGCCAUGCCGCGUGUAUGAAGAAGGCCCUAGGGUUGUAAAGUACUUUCAGUCGGGAGGCGUUACCGACAGAAGAAGCACCGGCUAACGCCGUGCCAGCAGCCGCGGUAAUUC
rnacentral:rRNA from 1 species